UGGACAAGAAUGGGCUCUAUUAUUAUUGUUGUUGCUGCUGUUGCUGUUAUUAAUAUUAUUAUUGUUGUUAUAUUAAUUUUAAAAUUAUCCCUUUGCAAUUUGCAAAGCGCCUGUAAAUUUACCUUAAACCUGCUUUCUUUUCUAGCCAAUGGUGUCAAGGGCCGGCUAGCCUGUCCCUCCGGAGCAUUAACCCUUGUCGCUAGCUGGAGUGAGUGAGGAGCUGAGGUUUGGCCCUAAGGAGCUGUGUGUGUAGAUCUGGCACAGCUUUGCUCCCUUAACUCCUGGAUCUUUGUUUUGGUGGCGACCAGGGAGAGCAGGGAGCGCUGUGCUCGCAUUUCCCUCUGGCUUUUACACGCGCACACACACACACAAAUCCCCCUGUCCAACUUUCUGCUUUUUGCGCUUCCCUUCCAGUUUUUUCACUUCUCAGACCUACUGGCAGCAUUUGCCGAGAUCUAGAUCCCCGUCGUGGAUUUUCCAAAUCUAAGUAAGAGCAUUAAAACACCUAACAGCUUCUAAGGAAAAGAUAUCAGUACUGGAAAAACCCACGAUACUAAUAUGGACACAAGUAAUUUACACAUUUCUUAGCAGUUCUACUACAGAAUAUUUGCAGGGGAGCAGUUUAAUUUAAUGAUAUUUUUUUUAAAAAAGUAGAAUCUUAUUUUUUUUCAAAUGAAAAGAAGUCCUUCUUUCUUUUCUCCUCUAUGAAACAAGACACUCCCCAUCUUUCUAUUGCUCCUAUGCUGUAUAUCCGCUGAGAACGGCCUGUCAUUCUACAAACCCUCAUGUAUUUUACAGAGUCAACAUUGCUAUUCACCUCAUGCAACUGCAGCCAGUCUUGGCUGCCAGGUGAAACACGAUGUUGAAACAGAGGAGCAGUCUCAAAGAAAUAGAAGCUCUUAAACCUUGAAUGGCUCUGUGGGUCAAAAGUGCCAUUUUGAGUUACACCUGGCAAUGAAGCAGAGCUGCAGCCCCCGGAGCGCGGGUGCAGCCGCGGAAGGAGGAGCGGUCCGGAGCGCACGGUCCCUCCUCGCCUGCUGGGUAUUCUGCAGGUCGGCUCUGAGCGCAUCGGUUAUGAUUGGGAGCAGCUGCGAGCGGAGCCCAGUGCAGCGCUCCCAAUACGUUCCAGAUGAUGAAUAUGAUGCAGACUUACUGGAAGAAAAAUAUAUUUCUGGAGAGAAAAAACAAUUACUUCUCAAAGCAAGACAAUGAAGCUGAACCGAUGCUACGUGGGCAUAAAAUAGAACAGAACUUUUGGGCAACGGCUUUAACUUCUAAUAAAUCACCCACCUGGAGAUCCUUUUGCAGAGUGAUUUUGGAUGUAUCAGAACCAAAAUAUUUUCAGAAUUACAUAAAGCUGAAAAAUUAUGCAUUUCACCCUUUAUUUCUCCUCAAAGGGACAGAUACUUUUUUGUGUUAUAAGCUCCAAAUUCCACAUUAGCAGAAAGGUGCCUUUGCCACUCCAAAGAACACAUGGGCUGUUUCACAGAAGUUAUGCAAAAAGGCUUGGAAACGUCACUUGAUACAGUGGGUUUCACUGGCCGAGUCUUCAGAGCGGACUUGAACGAAAUUUGGAAAAACAUGUCAAAAGUUAAGUGGUGAAAAUCAGCUUAAAUGCCUAAUUUUAAUUUUGUUUGUGCUCUUUGUUGUUUCAUUGUGGGGGGAGGGAAGAAGCUGUCUUUUUCUCCCUGUCCUUUCGAUUUUUUUUUGGGAGAAAAUGGAUGUUGGUGAAAAGAAGAGAGCUCUGGCAGGAACUGGAAAGAGGUUGUUUAUUCUGUUUUGUUUUCUUUAGAAAGGGGUAAGUCUCCUAAAACUCGUGAUGAUCCAGUUAAAGGGGGACUCGGGGGAGGCGAAGAGAAAAGAAAACUAAUAAUCAGCCUCUAAACGACAAGUUUUCUCUCGAACAAAAGAGCAACAGGAGGCAGUGCAGGCGGGGGGUCCGUGCCCAGGGGUAACGUUGCCAAAACAAUGGCUGGAGAAUGUGUGUAGCUUUUGCCUCUCCAGAAGCUGCUGCCCCAGUGCCUUCACUGAUGGACUGGAAGGAUCAAACCUGAUCCAACGCUGGUCAAUGUGUGGUGCCACUUCUGGAGUCCUCCAAAGAAGAGGCAGUGAUUGACUGUGGGUAACACAAGCAAGAGUAGAAGGACUGCAAAAGAAUCCCCCCCAGUUCUGAACGACAGCUUACGCCUUCUCUAUGAGAAUGGUCUGAGAUGACAAGAAAAGGUGUCUGAGCUCACAACCCCACGCACUGCAUUUGGAGGAGUGGUGUAUGAAACCUGGCCAGCACAGUCUGGGCACUGACGUCCCAUAAAGCCUACAGGGAAAAAGAACCAGGAGCUCAGGUUUACUGCUUACAUUUUCUUUUCUGACCCUUUCCUCCUGCCCCCUGAACAGUCAGGUGAUCUUUCAUCUUACCUUUCUCCUUUGAUCAAGGUGCAGUCGUCUGCAUAAUAGGACAAAAUUUUGGUCUAGUAAACUGUGAAGCUCUUUGGAAGAUCUGCUGAUUCUAAUAAAUGAAGCAACACUUCUUCCUCGCCACAAUCAACAGAUUUUUUUUCCACAGUCAAGCCUGCUAAGAACAUUUUAAAUAAUGUUCUUCUGGACCGAAACUCAGUUCCCAGACUCUUCUUCUUUUUACUCCUGUGAACACAGUGCUGUACUGUAUGUCAAUUUGGUCUUGUUUGUGGGUUCAUUUUCCCCUCCAUUAGAACAGCAUUUCUCUCUUUUUUUUUCCUUCUUGUGAUAUUGUUCAAAGGCUUCUUGUGAUGCCUUGAAAAAAGUUAUUGAUUGUUAGAUCAUUUCUCUCAUUCAUUCAGAUGUUUUCUGGUCCCCAGAUGGAAACAUCACAGCUGCUGCUCUGGAUUUCACUAUCGACUUUUGUCUCUGGAUUAUCAGAGCCCUUAGCAAAAGGGCCUAAAUCCAGGCACCCCUUUUCCCUCUGUUGAGACUCAACACUGUUAUCCUUCCAGCUCAAAGGAAGUCCCAGUGCCUGUAUAUGGCCAGAGUCUGGAGCAGAAAGGUCCUGUGAUUGCUUUUUUUGAGCUAUUUUUCUAGUGCUCCUUUUUUUAGUUUCUGUACAAUUUUUCAGCUCUUCUGUAGGAGCACCAGAUCUCAGAGGCCAGUCUGCUUUCCUACCUCCCUCUGCUGUUUUUAUAUCUACACUGCUCAUUUGUUACAGGUUUGAGGGCCAGAAUCAACCUGACAAAUUAGUAUUUUUCAAAUUCAGCAUUUUCUGACCGGCAGCCAUCUGCUCUGACAAAGAAGAAAGUGGGAAGCAUUGCCGUGGUUUAAAUGCUUUUCACCCAAUCCCUCAAGGAAAACCUCUUUUUUAAAUUCAAAGAGUUGUUAUGAUUCAAAGAAAAUGCUUA